rnacentral:rRNA from 1 species
AGGACGAACGCUGGCGGCGUGCCUAACACAUGCAAGUCGAACGGAACCAGCAAUGGUUCAGUGGCGGACGGGUGCGUAACACGUGAGGAACAUGUCUUUCGGUGGGGGAUAGCCGGCCCAACGGCCGGGUAAUACCGCAUACGCUGCUCGGAGCUCCUGCUCUGAGUCGGAAAGCAGCAAUGCGCCGAUCGAGUGCCCCGCGGCCUAUCAGCUAGUUGGUGAGGUAAUGGCUCACCAAGGCGACGACGGGUA